CCCUUAACUAUUAAAAGUUUCAUUUUGGUCCAUUAACUUACUUUUUGGUUUCGUUUUGGUCCCUUAACUCUUCCUCCGUCAACCACUUUGGUCCUUUAUGUUAUGAUGAAUGUAUUAGAGUUAAGGGACCAAAAUGAAACCAAAAAAUAAGUUAAGGGACCAAAAUGAAAUCAAAAAAUAAGUUAAGGGACCAAAACGAAACUUUUAAUAGUUAAGGGACCAAAACGAAACCAAAAAGUAAGUUAAGGGACCAAAACAAAACUUUUAAUAGUUAAGGAA
rnacentral:pre_miRNA from 1 species